GGACCAUGUAGGCCCGGUUACAGUAAUACUACUGUCCAAUACGGAUCAGGCAGGACCAUGUAGGCCCGGCUACAGUAAUACUACUGUCCAAUACGGAUCAGGCAGGACCAUGUAGGCCCGCCUACAGUAAUACUACUGUCCAAUACGGAUCAGGCAGGUCCAUGUAGGCCCGGCUACAGUAAUACUACUGUCCAAUACGGAUCAGGCAGGUCCAUGUAGGCCCGGCUACAGUAAUACUACUGUCACUGAUGUACCUUCACGGCAAGCUACUUUUCAAGUGUUCAGAGAAGAAAACCAAAGCUAUCAAAUCAAAUCAUGAGGGCAGACAUUGGUUAUGA
ensembl:lncRNA